AUUCGUGAUGACGCUGUCCUGAAAAUGUUACAGUAGUGUCAAUGACGUGACAGAAAUGAUCUUUAUACUUUUAAUUUGUGAAACUUAUUUCUCCCAUUUUGUUGAACAUAUAGUUUAGCUCCAACUGCGUGUUCCGUGGCUAUUUUAAUUUACAGAACUUACCAGUACAUUCUGAUUUACAUUUAAUCUACAUAACCCAAGGUUUCUGACUUGCAGACUCUUAAAUAGAGGAGGCUGUAGUGGAAGCAGCUUUGAGCUAUUUGAAAGCAAAUUUGUAAAGUAAAUACUUAACUGUUUGUCCUUUAAACGCUAGAAAUAAGGAUGUUGUGAAACGUCCAUCAGUGAAUCAAUCAUUGGGCUGGAAAGAUUUGCUGUCAGCACAUAGUUAGUCAUAGGUAUUUGAGAAACCAUCUGUGACAUUUUAAAGUGCAGAUUUCACUUCUCUUUUCACAGCUGGGCUAGACUUUCGCUGGCUUCAAGACAAUUUACCUCUUAUUAAAGUAAUGGUCUCGUUUGCUUUGGGAUCCAGAACAACACUGUUUAGUAUAUAUGCUACUAAAUUGUUGUAAGCCUUUGUAAGUUUCCUCUCAGAUGUCAUUUGGAGAUUGGUCUGACAACCUGAGAUCUAUAUAAGACUUUAUGAAGAACGGUCUACGUUGUGGCACUACCUAACCCGCACCGCGUGUGCAGUCUCUUUGUGUGUUAUCCUAGAAGUGUCACAGUGCACUCACAGUGACUGCACAGAACUCCCUGUGGCACCAAGUGCUCCUUACCUUCUCUGGAGCUGGCUUUUGACAGUCAUGUUCUAAUAGAGUGUCAUCUCAGAACUCCAGACAAGUGUCCGAUGUAGACUAGGAGUCUUGGGAAAUCUUCUUGAGAUAAAGGCUACCAAAGCCAAUGUUACCAAGUCCAUAGUCACGUGUGCCUGGAUGCUAAAGGAAUCCCAAAUCUGGGCAGUGUACGUUUUCAGGCUCGAGUCCACGGAGAAGCACACUGGUCGUUCCUAACGUGACUGCAGCCAGCCACUGCAGCAGGAGCAGGUCCCUUUACUUCCGGCUGCUUAGAGAGUCACUCAGCAAGAUAGUUCAGAUCGUAUAUCUGUCUUUGUUUGUUUUUCAAAAUCAUUAAAUCUAAAUAGCUCACUUCUGAGCAAAACCCUGCUCUGUGGACAAUUAUCACUGCCAGAAUCCUCCAUUUCUGUAGUGUCCUGUGUGAUUGGAAUAAUCAACUUCUCACACCAGCAAGGAUUUUACAGGUGCCUUGGAUUAAAACAGAAUUUUUUUUUAAAAAACUUUUAAGUCUUUAUUUACAAUGCCACUUUUAAAAGAAAUCUCAAUUAUGGAACUGCCGAUAGGCCUGUUUAAUGCCAUUUGUGGUAGAAUUAUUUAAAUGCUUUUUUCCUUUAAAACUUCACCGUGAAGUCACAGACAGUAACCAGUGUUUUAUCAUGUAUUGAAGGCACAUGAGUGUUUUUCAGAGUAUUGCCCAUGGACCAACCAUUCAGUUCAUGGGAUGCUUAUUAAGAAUACAGAUUCCAAGGCCCCAUUCCAGUUCAUCCACAUCACAACUCAGGUGUGGCUUUCGAGUGUCUGUUCCACAGACACCACAGACAUAGCACACGACAGUUGAGAACCACUAGAAUGGGGAGUAGGGAAAACAUGUUUGAUGGGUGUUUAUUUGUGGGCGCAGAGCUGAGCCACGCACAUUGAGACCGGCGUCUGUGCUUGUGCUUCUGCACAUCUCAGUGUUCACUAACUCUCCAUUCACUAGCAACUGCAAACUAAGUCCAGGCUGUUGGCUGGCCUCUCAGCUCUUCAGUGAUGACUUUGACCUGUUGAAUCAUCUUUGGCUCAUGGCAAAGCGUAACUCUGAAGCUUGCCUGCCGAAGCCGUUGCCUUCCUGAUAGUCACCACUGGUCAUCUCAGACGACUGCACAUGUUGAUAACAUGAGGAACAUGGGAAAGACUUGAAUAAGGGUCGCUCACCCGCUGCUCUUCCGAGUAAAGAACGUAUCACUGUGGUUACCGACUCUUGACUCUUUGCAGCGCCCACAUGCUGGUUGGCGGAAGGCAAUGAACAAAUUAGUCAUCGGGAACUUUGUAAGAUUGAGGGUGGGAUCAGCUCUUAGAACUUUUUAAAUCUAUAUGUUGCCCAUUUUAAUAUAUUUCUCUUAUGAUGUUAAAGUUUAAAAGGGUUUUCUAUCCACUGUCAAUUUUAAUUAUAUAACAUUUUGUC
rnacentral:lncRNA from 1 species